UACGAAGGGGGCUAGCGUUGCUCGGAAUUACUGGGCGUAAAGGGAGCGUAGGCGGAUAGUUUAGUCAGAGGUGAAAUCUCCGGGCUCAACUCGGAGGGGUCGGGCGAGACUGCGAGGCUCGAGGUGGGCAGAGGGCAGUGGAAUUCCGGGUGUAGUGGUGGAAUGCGUAGAGAUCCGGAGGAACACCAGUGGCGAAGGCGGCUGCCUGGGCCUGGCCUGACGCUGAGGUGCGAAAGCGUGGGGAGCAAACAGG
rnacentral:rRNA from 1 species